rnacentral:rRNA from 1 species
GCAUAUCAAUAAGCGGAGGAAAAGAAACCAACAGGGAUUGCCUCAGUAACGGCGAGUGAAGCGGCAAAAGCUCAAAUUUGAAAUCUAGCACUUUCAGUGUUCGAGUUGUAAUUUGAAGAAGGUAACUUUGGUUUUGGCUCUUGUCUAUGUUCCUUGGAACAGGACGUCACAGAGGGUGAGAAUCCCGUGCGAUGAGAUGCCCAAUUCCAUGUAAAGUGCUUUCGAAGAGUCGAGUUGUUUGGGAAUGCAGCUCUAAGUGGGUGGUAAAUUCCAUCUAAAGCUAAAUAUUGGCGAGAGACCGAUAGCGAACAAGUACAGUGAUGGAAAGAUGAAAAGAACUUUGAAAAGAGAGUGAAAAAGUACGUGAAAUUGUUGAAAGGGAAGGGCUUGAGAUCAGACUUGGUAUUUUGCGUUCCCUUCCUUUUUGGUUGGGUUCCUCGCAGUUUACUGGGCCAGCAUCGGUUUGGAUGGUAGGAUAAUGACAUUGGAAUGUAGCUUUACUUCGGUGAAGUGUUAUAGACUUUGUUGAUACUGCCUAUCUAGACCGAGGACUGCGUCUUGACUA